rnacentral:rRNA from 1 species
AAACUAACAAGGAUUCCCCUAGUAACUGCGAGUGAAGCGGGAAAAGCUCAAAUUUAAAAUCUGGCGGCUUUGGUCGUCCGAGUUGUAUCCUAGAGAAGUGUUUUCCGCGUUGGACCGUGUAUAAGUCUCUUGGAACAGAGCGUCAUAGAGGGUGAGAAUCCCGUCUUUGACACGGACUACCAAUGCUUUGUGAUACACUCUCAAAGAGUCGAGUUGUUUGGGAAUGCAGCUCAAAAUGGGUGGUAAAUUCCAUCUAAAGCUAAAUAUUGGCGAGAGACCGAUAGCGAACAAGUACCGUGAGGGAAAGAUGAAAAGCACUUUGGAAAGAGAGUUAAACAGUACGUGAAAUUGCUGAAAGGGAAACGAUUGAAGUCAGUCGCGUUAGCUAGAACUCAACCAGGCUUGCUUGGCGUAUUUUCUAGUUAACGGGCCAGCAUCAGUUUUGACCGCAGGAAAAAGGCCAGGGAAAUGUGGCACCUUCGGGUGUGUUAUAGUCUUUGGUCAUAUACUGCGAUUGGGACUGAGGUUCGCAGCACGCGCAAGCUGUGCUUAGGAUGCUGGCGUAAUGGCUUUAACGAC